GAUGAACGCUGGCGGCGUGCCUAAUACAUGCAAGUCGAGCGAACAGACGAGGAGCUUGCUCCUCUGACGUUAGCGGCGGACGGGUGAGUAACACGUGGAUAACCUACCUAUAAGACUGGGAUAACUUCGGGAAACCGGAGCUAAUACCGGAUAAUAUAUUGAACCGCAUGGUUCAAUGGUGAAAGACGGUUUUGCUGUCACUUAUCGAUGGAUCCGCGCCGCAUUAGCUAGUUGGUAAGGUAACGGCUUACCAAGGCGACGAUGCGUAGCCGAACUGUGAGGGUGAUCGGCCACACUGGAACUGAGACACGGUCCAGACUCCUACGGGAGGCAGCAGUAGGGAAUCUUCCGCAAUGGGCGAAAGCCUGACGGAGCCACGCCGCGUGAGUGAUGAAGGUCUUCGGAUCGUAAAACUCUGUUAUUAGGGAAGAACAGAUGUGUAAGUAACUAUGCACGUCUUGACGGUACCUAAUCAGAAAGCCACGGCUAACUACGUG
rnacentral:rRNA from 1 species